AGCCCUAGAAAAGGGACGGCGGCCGAGAGAAAGGAACAGGUUAGCCCAGACCGAGAGGCUACCCGGGGAGGAAGAGAAGAAUGCUGCGGGCUAGGUCAGCAAAGCCCAGGUCUGGCCUUGGAGGCUUUUACUCCGCUGACUUCGCCUCAUGAAAACUCACGUUCUUUAUUCCCAGGAGAUUUGAAGGCUGGGGACAGGAGCUCACAGUGGAUUUAACAAAAUUUGCACGCGUCUCCUCUCCCCCUGUGCAGAGGCAGUACACUGAAGGAGUUAAAGCCUUGGGCUGAGAGGCAGGAAGACCUGGGUUCAUAUAUUCCACCCAGCUGUGUGGCAUUGGCAGAGGAGUGACAUAAGAAGAACAUUAGGAAGAUGGGUGUUGCUGCUCUGUUGUGGAUGGAUUCAAAAGGAAAAGAGCUGGGCAACGUCCAUCACGGGGGAAAGAUCGCCACCUGCUGUGCCACUCUGGGAACUUCCCAAAGCGCCUUCAAACAAGACCUUGGAUUGAGGCCAAGAAGAAUUCAAAACAGACGGUUUAAAGCUGAAAGGUCCUCAGGGGUUAUAUAGUCCCAAACUCUCAAGUUAUAGAUGAGGAAACUGGGACCCAGAGAGAAGAAGUAAUUUCCCCAGGUCACACAAAAAGUGAGGAAGGGCCAAGACUAGAACAUUGAUUUCUGGGCUCCAUAAAAUUCAAUUUAUUCCACUAGAAUUCAGGGGAUUAAGAAUUUGGGUUUUUUAUAACUAUAUCUAGGCAUAAUUGAUUUUGUUUAUACUCCUAUGUAUUUUAUCUUAUGCAUUUAAACUAAAUGGACUGCUUCUGAGACGGAGUCCAUAGGCCUCACCAGACUGCCAAAAGUGGGGGUGGGAUUUGGUCCAUGACCCAAAAACAUUUAAGAACCCCUACAUGAGAUACUGUCUUCUAAACUCAAACCUGAUCACUGUGUAAGCCUUAUAAAGUCAAUCAGUCCCAUUGCUAGGGGACAAGGACAGCUGCCCCUAAAGAAAAUUAUGCAUAAGCAAGUGUUUAUUUAGCAAUUUUCUGCCCCGGGACAUCCUGUUAAAAUCCAUGGUCCUUUGAUUCUAUUUGGGGCUGCUCAUCAGCCCACCAUCCACACAGGGUUCCUCAAGCUGCAAAAGACCCAAAGCGUCCAUCAAGAUGCCUCCCCUGGCUUUAACUUACCCACCUGGUGCCCCAUUGUACCCUCUGUCCACCCAGACUUUGUCGCACUCCUUCCUCUUCCUGCUUAUAGAAAAUGCCUAGUUCGAUCCUGGGAGGAUAUAUCAUGUGUUACUCUACUGCUCAUGCCUUCAUUCACCAAGUAUUAUUAAGUACCUAGAGAGGGGUGACCCAGGGGAAGACUGUGGCUGAAGCCUGGCAUCGAAAGUCCACAAGUCAGAAAUGUAGCUGGGAGGAGAAAGAGAACAGACUCUAUUUGGUACUUGUCGAGUUUGAGAUGUCUAUGAGAUGUCUAGGACAAGACUGUAGCUCAGGAGAGAGACUAAGGCUGCAUGUAUA